AUUGAACGCUGGCGGCAGGCCUAACACAUGCAAGUCGAGCGGAUGAAGGGAGCUUGCUCCUGGAUUCAGCGGCGGACGGGUGAGUAAUGCCUAGGAAUCUGCCUGGUAGUGGGGGAUAACGUCCGGAAACGGGCGCUAAUGCCGCAUACGUCCUGAGGGGGAAAGUGGGGGAUCUUCGGACUUCACGCUAUCAGAUGAGCCUAGGUCGGAUUAGCUAGUUGGUGGGGUAAAGGCCUACCAAGGCGACGAUCCGUAACUGGUCUGAGAGGAUGAUCAGUCACACUGGAACUGAGACACGGUCCAGGCUCCUACGGGAGGCAGCAGUGGGGAAUAUUGGACAAUGGGCGAAAGCCUGAUCCAGCCAUGCCACGUGUGUGAAGAAGGUCUUCGGAUUGUAAAGCACUUUAAGUUGGGAGGAAGGGCAGUAAGUUAAUACCUUGCUGUUUUGACGUUACCAACAGAAUAAGCACCGGCUAACUUCGCG
rnacentral:rRNA from 1 species